UUUUGCCUCCACAAGACUCAUUCGCCGACGAAAAUUUUAAUUUGUAGGCUCAUAAUUGUUGAACUUGUGCCGACAAUAUUUUUGUCGGCGAAAAAUAUUUAUGCCGACAAAUAAAAUAACACUCGGGAAAGCAUGCAGGUUUGUCGACAAUCAGAAGAUGGGAACGGACUAAUUUAUUCUCGCGCCUUUUGUUUUUUGGUCUUUUUGAUUCACCCGCUUCUUCUUUUUAUCGAAAAAUUCCCCCUAUAAAAAUCAUUGUAUUUUCAUUGAACCCUAAUCUUAAUUGUCGAUAGCCCACCCCUCCCCUUCUAUUUGAAAUCGUAACUUUCUGUCUUCCAAUCGAGCUCCAUCGACAUCGCCGUCGCUCCGUAUGCCCGACAUCGCCGUCGCUUCGUGUGCUCGACAUCGCUGUCGAUUCGUCUGCUCGCGUCACCGUCGAAGUGCCCGACCAUUCUAGCUUUGAAAUUUCUAAUGCCGGGUGCUUCUCUGCAUUUCGUUCUCUAAAACUUUGGAUUAUUGAUCAAAUCAACUGUGUUGGAGGCUAGGAUCUCAAAUAAGUGAGUAAAAAAAAUCUGAAUUGUCCCUCUAUUGUGCAGAACACUAUGAGCAAUGAGCUUUCUGCAGUUUGAUUAUGUCUAAUGCUAGACAUGAGCAAGAAGCAUACUGGAACAAUGAGCACAGAUUGGCCUAUACCUCUGAGAUCUGCACCGCCUCUGAGGGUGACCGCUAUGAGAAAUCGGUCAUUUUCCCAUUACUCUCCCUGGUUUUUAUUGCUUUUAAAGUUCCAAUAUUUAAUCAAAUUAAUAUUCUAGUAGUAGAUAUCUCUACAACUAGGCUGUAUAUUUCAUGAAAAAUUUGAUAUGUGGUCCAAUUCUUCUGUUGCAAUCCUUUAUUGUUCUCGGGGUAUAUUUUUCUCGUUGUUUUGACAACCA